GAUAUGUGUGAAGUCAAUGUCUUUUUGCUACAAGGAAAACAAAAUACAUAAGCAAUUAAGCAUCACUUUCUGAACCUGCUGCUACUUCUUCCUUUACCUUCAUUGCAAACAAUCAUCCACUAUUUUCCUUUGUUUUCUUUCUUCUAAUCUUGAGAUCAACAUGGCUGCAAGAUUUGUGGGGGAAGCUUUUCUCAACUCUGCACUUGGCACUAUCUACGACAUGCUGAUUUCACCCUUACUUGUCAACUUCAUCCAGCGAAAGAAGCUUAACCGGAAGCUGGUCGAGAAGCUGGAGACAGUUCUGAAGGCUGCUCAUGCUGUGAUCAAUGACGCCGAGCGGAGGCAGAUCGAAGAGGAAGCUGUGAAGGACUGGCUGGACAGGCUGAAGGAUGCUGUGUACGAUGCUGAAGACAUACUUGAUGAAGUCACCACCAAAGCUGCCAUUCAAAAGGUUCAAGGUAACUCUCUGUCUCGCUAUGUCAAUUUGCAUGGUGAUGGUGAGAUAGUAACCAAGAUAGAAGAGAUCAUUGAUGCAUUAGAGUCAAUUGUAAACGAGAAAGAUGGUCUUGGCUUGAAGGAGAUACCGGUGGAGGACAUGUCAUGGAGGAUCCCCUCAACAUCUCUGGUUGGUGUGCAUCAAAUAUAUGGCAGGGACCAAGACAGGGAGGCCAUAGUAAAACUGUUGCUAGAUGUUACCAAUGACGGUGGAAUAUCCGUGAUUCCUAUGGUCGGCAUGGGUGGAAUAGGAAAGACUACUUUGGCUCAGAUGGUUUACAAUGAUGACCGAGUGAAACAAAAAUUUGAUGUUAAGGCAUGGGUUUGUGAUGGGCAAGAAGUAUUUGAUGUUCUUAAGGCGACAAAGACGGUGAUGGAGAAAGUAACUUCUAGUUCUUGCAACUCAACUGAGCUAAACACAAUUCAGGAGAGUUCGAAGGAAGUCCUAGCAGGGAAGAAGUUGUUGGUUGUUUUGGACGACAUGUGGAGUAACAAUUAUGAUGCCUGGACAAGUUUCUUAAAGCCUUUCAAAUCUAGUAACGGGGGUGUUAAGAUUCUUGUAACAACCCGUCUUGAUUCAAUUGCUGAUAUGGUGAAAACUAUUCCAACUUUCCAUUUGAGUUUGUUGGGUGAUGAUCACUGCUGGUCAGUGUUUGCAGAUCAUGCAUGUCUUAAUUCUGCUGAACCUCAUAUCCGUUCUGCUUUAGAAGUAGUUGGUCGAAAAAUUGUCAAAAAGUGUAAUGGGUUAGCUUUGGCUGCUCAAACACUUGGAGGUUUAUUAAGAGCAAGAAAAGAAGUAGCAGAUUGGGAGUUUAUAUUGAGGAAUGAAAUUUGGGAACUUCCCAAAAAAGAUAGUGGAAUUCUUCCAGCAUUAAGAAUCAGUUAUCACUACCUCCCUUCCCACUUAAAACGUUGCUUUGUUUAUUGUUCUUUAUUCCCAAAAGACUAUGAAUUCAAAAGAGAUAAACUGGUGUUAUUGUGGAUGGCAGAAGGUCUUUUGCAGCAACCAAAGAGUGGCAGCACUUUAGAAGAAGUUGGUUCUAAAUAUUUUAAUGAUUUGGUUUCAAGAUCAUUUUUCCAACAUUCUAAAACCAAUGAAAAUUUAUUUGUGAUGCACGAUCUCAUGCAUGAUUUAGCAAUAUUCUACGGUGGAAAGUUCUUUUCUAGAAACUUUGAACUCAAAACUGCAGACAAGCAUGAUGCUUGUCCUCGUCAUCUUUCAGAUGGUCUUGUCAUCGAUGAUUCGUUAUUCUCAGAGAUCUCGGAAGUAUGUGAUUAUUUAAAAAAUGCAAGGACAUUGCUGGAUAUCAGUUUUGAAACAUGGGAGGAUUCCACAGAGGAAAUUGAUCUUUGUGGCUUAUUUGCACAGUUGAAGCGCUUAAGGGUUUUGUCAUUUGAAUUCUUUCCUCGUGAUGAGCAUGAUUCAUUGCUCGAUUCAAUAGGUGAUUUGAUCCAUUUGCGUUAUUUGGAUCUCUCUCAUUCACCUAUCGUGACAUUGCCAAAGUCAAUGUGCAAAUUAUAUAAUUUACAAACACUGAAGUUGAGUUUUUGUAGAAGACUAAAAAAGCUUCCAAGCAACAUGCAGGAUCUUAUAAGUUUGCGUCAUUUGGAUCUCUCUGAUACGCCUAUUGUGGAAUUUCCCGAGUCAUUGAGCAAAUUGUAUAAUUUACAAACACUGAAGUUGAAUAAUUGUGAAAGACUAGAGAAGCUUCCAUGCAACAUGCAGGAUCUUAUAAAUUUGCGUCAUUUGGAUCUCUCUGAUACGCCUAUUGUGGAAUUACCUGAGUCAUUAAGCAAAUUGUAUAAUUUACAAACACUGGAGUUGAAUGAUUGUAAAGAACUAGAGAAGCUUCCAACAAACAUGCAAGAUCUUGUAAAUCUGCACCAUCUCCAUAUUGAAGGUACUUGUUUAAAAGAUAUGCCAAAAGGGAUGAGCAAAUUAAAAGAUUUGCAGAUUCUGAGUUACUAUGUUGUUGGCAAGGAUAAAGAGAAUGGGGUAGGGGAAUUGGGAGAACUCGUAAAUCUUCAAGGCUCAUUUCGUAUUGAGAAAUUAGAGAAUGUCGAUUAUAGCAGUGAGGCUUGGAAGGCGAGGAUGGUUGAUAAGAAAUACAUCAAUGAUCUAUAUUUGGACUGGUCAGCAGAUGAAGAUGGUGAUGUUGUUGAUUCCAAAAUAGAAAAAGAUGGGCUUGCCAAAUUAGAACCUCACAAUAACUUGAAACGUCUAACAAUCAGCUGUUACGGAGGUACGAUGUUUCCGGAUUGGGUAGGGCAGUCUUCGUACCACAACAUGACUGAGUUGCAGCUGAUUGGAUGCAGGAAUUGUUGGGUGCUUCCUUCACUUGGACAGUUACCCUCUCUGGAGAGGCUGGUCAUUGCAGGGUUCAAGAAGGUGAAGAAGAUUGGUGGGUCAUUCUAUAAGGGUGAUGGAACUCAUCAGCAUCAGGAGACACCCUUCCGAUCCCUUAAAUAUCUCUCAUUUCGAGAUAUGGGUUGGUGGGAGGAAUGGGAGUCAUAUGAAUGUGAUGAUGAUGAUGAUGCACCAUUUCCGAAACUUGAAGAACUUUGGAUAGAGUACUGUCCUAAGUUAACAAGAGAUUUGCCCACUUUCCUUCCGUCUUUGAAACAACUCCGCAUUCGAGGAUGCGAGGAGCUUGGUUGUUAUCUUCCAAGAGCUCCCAUCUUACGCGAAUCAUUUAUAUUAGGCAAACAGAAAGCAAGAAUGCGGGACCUACCACUUUCACUGCAAGCACUAGGAAUCGGAGGAAAGCAGCUUGUGGAGGAUGUGUUUGAGGCCAUGACCCACACCCAACCAACCUCUCUCAGUUAUUUAGGAAUCUCAGAGUGCUCAUCAGCUAUAUCAUUUCCAGGGGAUGCUUUGCCCCCUUCGUUGAAACAGUUGCGGAUCAAUAACUGCAAGAAUGUAGAAUUCCCAAUGCAACACCAACAACAUCACUCGCUAAUGGAAUUAAAAAUAGACAACAGCUGUGAUUCACUUACAUCCUUCGCAUUGCCAGCGUUCCCAAAUCUCUUGUCUCUGAGAAUUGAAAGAUGUGAAAAUUUGACAUCUCUAGAGGUGUCACAGUUACAGUCCCUCCGAUAUUUACAGGUUGAAGAAUGCCCUAAGCUGGAGAACAUAAUAAGGCUGCCUGCCUCUUUAAGGAAACUCGACAUCAGGAAAUGUCCGUUGUUGGGUGAAGGCAUAGAGAGGAAGGACCCCCACGUUUGGCCAUCCAUUUCCCACAUCCCCGACAUUUUUGUUAAUAGGACAUGGAUUCAGUUUGACUCAACAUCUUAAAACAGCUUAUUCACCAUUCAAGUUGAUGGCAGGAGACAGUUUCCAUGAGGACUCAACAUCUUAAAACAGUACUCAAACUACCACCUUUGUUUUGGCAGAUGCAGAGAAUCCAUUUUCAAAUGAAGGGGUCAUCAAAGAAUACUAAGCAAUGCAUCAUUACAAGAUGUGUCAAGGGUGAAAUACUUGCAUGCAUGCAUGUAUAGGAAUGGAUCAAAUAUGAAGGGGUAUUUAUUUUGCAUGAUUAUUCUUAGAUUUAUUUGAGUUAUUGGAUGAUUAAAAAGUAAGCUAUGGCCAAUUAUAGAGAUAUCCCAAACUCUCAGCAAAAUGGUACAAUUGGUUCUUGAGAGGCAGAGAAGAAGCAUUUCUAUAAUUGGGGAUAUUGUUGCAGAAGUUUGGAACAGGGGAAUUGCAUGCUUGAGUAGUUGCUGGGAUGUAUAGUUUUUUUGAGUUUUUGUGAUGUAAACUGUUGGUUUGACGAAUCUUGAUGGCAAUGCCGAAGGGAUUCAACCACACCACUAGGCUUUAUGUCUGUUAUUUUGGAUGUUAAUAGGAAAAUUGUAUGUUAUAAACUUCAUUAUGAACUCAUUAAAUCAUAAUAGCAUGCUAUUCUUUUCUCUGUUCGGGUUUUGCCUUGAUCAUUGAUUUCUUUUUAUAAUAUAUCUUCAGUUUACUGGAUUGUUUAAAGAGAGAAUAGUGGUGGAUGCAAUCUAAAGAAACCAAAUCAACAAUGGCAAUGUUAAAAAUCAAAGUGUCUGAUUUAUGUUCUCUUGAA